rnacentral:lncRNA from 1 species
GUUAUUCUCUCUGCAAAUUCUUUACAGUCUUUCCUUUAUAUCCAGAAGAGUCUCUGUGUGGUGCUAACUUGCCUCGAAGACCAAAUAAUUGCUAGUCUCCCUUUGUGAAAAGGAGAGCAGGUGUCAGGCUCAUUCAUGUCUCAGGCACACAAUUGUAUCUAGCUAGACUUUUCAAAAUGUCCUAUAGAGCUGCAGCACAUAUGAAUGAGGUGUCCAGCUGGUCCCAAACCUGUAAUCGGCACCCCAGUGAGCAGACUGGACAUCCCCACCCCCACAGCUGCCCUUUCUCCCCUCCACUCAUGUUCCCUCUAGGGCCACCACGAUCCCGACUUGUAUCACCACAGAUGAGUUUCACAUGUUUUUGAAUUUUACAUCUUAUCUGUUUUCUGUUCCUAUACAAGUUUGCCUUUUUUGAAUUCCAUAUAAGUGGGAUUCUACAAUGUGUUAUCUCAAUUUGAGUCUGUUUUUUUUUUCCUGCUCAGCAUGAUGUUUUUGAGAUGCAUAUAUGCGGUUUUGUGUAUCUGUAGAUGGUUCUUUUUUAUUGCAGAAUAAUGUUCCAGGGUAUGGAUGUACCAAAGCUUGUUCAUCCAUUCACCAGCUGAGGGAUAUUUGGACUGUUUCCAGUUUUCAGCCAUUAUAAAUAAAGCCACUAGAAACAUUUGCAAACAGGUUUUUAUGUGAACAUAAAUUUUUGUUUAUCUUGGGUAAAUUUCUAGGAGUGGAAUUGCUGGGCCAGGUGGCCAAGUGUAUGUUUCACUUUAUCAGAAACCGCUGAGCUGUUUUCCAAGGUGUCUGUACCAUUUUUCAUCCCUACCAGCAAUGUAUGAAAGUGUCAGUUGCUUCGUAUUCUCACCAGCACUUGGUGGUGUUAGUUUUUUGUGUGUGUACAUGUGUUUUACUUUUAGUCAUUCAAAUAGGUGAUAAUAGUAUCUCAUUGUGGUGUUAGUUUGCAUUUCCCUAAUGACUAAUGAUGUUGAACAUCUUUGUAUGUGUUUCUUUGCCAUCCGUAUAUUUUCUUUGGUGUAGUAUCUGUUCAAACUUUAUGUCAGUUAAAAAAAAAGACCCAAUUGUUUUCUUCUUAAUAGAUUUGGAGAGUUCUUUAUAUAUAUUCUGGAUACUAGUCAAGCCUUUGUGAAAUAUGUGAUUUGCAAAUAUUUUCUCCUGUUCUGUGGCUUGUCUUUUUAUUCUUUCAAUAGGUAGACUUUAAUAACAUCGUUUUGUUUUCUUUUUAAGUAUUUUUCUGGUUAUCUUUGAUUUGUGGCAUGUAUUCUUUGGUUUUUCAAUUUUAGUGAUAACACCAAAUGUUUUCUUUUAAAAUGAAUUUAUUUAAGUAAAAACGUCAGUAAAUUUGAAGAAACACAUUAAAUAAGGAAUAGUAGAAGUGGACAGUAGACAGCAUAAAAAUCGUGAAGGCAGUUUCCAAUUUGCAUAACCAAAGUGUGGGCAGCUCCGAUUCGUUCGUCAACAAAUACUGAUGGAGCCCCCACUGUCCACCAGGCUCUGAGCCAGGUGCUGGGGACACAGCACCAAGCGAGAUAGUUGUUUGCUCUUUUAAUGCUGGUUUUUCUCCAGUGAGUCUCUCUUCAUCUUUCAAAAGCCAAUUUGAAUGACCCUUCCUUCAUCCAGACCUUCCCUGGAAUGUUUGUCACACUCUACUGCAAAUUUCUAUUUCUGUAUCUCCCAGGCAAGGGGCAUGUCGGGCAGCCUCUGGUAGGGUUGUAGAGAGCUUGGUGCAUAGAUAUCUCAAUAAAUAGCCUCUCACAUAGUACAAGCUAUGAUGAGGUGCUGAAGACCAGUUGCUGAUUCAAUUGGUUGAAACUAGCCAGGCCUGAUGAAGGGGCCUGAGGACCUUCCCUGCUGCAGUCUGGCUGACCCCAAGCAAACCAAAGUCUCUCCCCUUGGCCUCCCCUCCCACAUAAAGAUACCAAGAGAAAAAGCCUCCCAAACCCACUGCCUUCAGCCUCUGCUAUUUGCUUCCCAUCCAGUGCCCAUGGAUGCCUUUCCUGCAAGACACAGUAUUCACACAGACACUUACCAGGCAUCUUUGUUCUGACCUGCCCCAGGACCACCACUUUCACCUUGGCCUCUUACCACCAUUCCCCUGUUCCUCCACUCCAGCACACCAGCCAGUGUUUGCCCCUCCAACAUGCCCAGCUCAUUCCCACCCCUGGGCCUUUGCACUAGCUCUUCCCUAGUUCUUUGCCUUCUCUAGCUCUCCACAUUCAGUUCUGAACUUCACUGACCCUCCUCAGAGGCUCUCUAGGCUAUGCUACCAAAGCCCUCUCUCCUCUUUUUUUUUUUUUUUUUUUUUUUUUUUUUGAGACAGGGUCUUACUCUGUCACCUAGGCUGGAGUGCAGUGGUAUAAUCAUAGCUCACUGCAGCCUCCAUCUCCCAGGCUCAAGUGAUCCUCCUGCCUCAGCCUCCUGAAUAGCUGAGACUACAGGUGUGUGCCAUCAUGCCCAGCUAUAUACAUAUAUUUUUAAAGUAGGGAUAUACUCACUCACUGAGCUCAGUAUGUAGCUCAGGCUGGUCUCAAACUCCUGAGCUCAAACAAUCCUCCCACCUCGGCCCUCCAAGUGCUAGGAUUACAGGCGUGAGCCACUGUGCUCAGACACCCCAUGUAUUUUUGAUCCCUUCAUUCUGUUUCUGUCCUUUGUAGCAUGGAAUGCUCUCAUUUCCGAGUUUAUUUGUGUGUUUGUUUGUUUCUCGCCGUGUCCCCUGUUGGAGUGGCAGUUCCAUGAGGGAUUUGGGUCUGUCCUUCUCUCUAUCUCCCCAGUGCCUAGCACAGUGUUCAGCACACAGUCGGUACUCAAUCAGAAUUUGUUGAAUCUAUGAGUGAAUGAAUGAAUGAGCUCAUGAGCUCUCCCUUCUCCAGAUGCACUCACGGCAAAGUUGAACCCAUCUAUCUGCCCAUGCGUCAGGCUAGUUGUCCUGUGGGCCCCUCCUGGGUGGGUACUGAGGGAUGAAGGGCUGCCAAUCUCAAGAGCGCUACCAAGCCAGUAACCACUUAGGCAGCUGGGGCUCGGUCCUGCUGUGGCACGCUGGGAGCCCAUGUAGUAACGGAGUUAGCCCCCCAGGGGCGGAGAUCGGGUGGUCAGGGAGCUGGGGAAGGGACAUGUCAGCUCCUGCCUAUCAUUGCUUGACAGCUGCCGCUUGGAGUGUUAGUUCCCAGCACAUCCAGCCUGCCCCAUGAGCAAAGCUCACAGGUGAAGGGGACAGGUGCUGCAGGUGGAAUCCUGUCUGUGUUCACCGGAGAAAAGGGAGAGGAGGUAUGGGCAGGGCACAGACAACAAAGGCCUCACAGUCAACACUGGUUCCUCAUUUAAAGCCAGGAUAAAAUGAGUUCAUUUAAAAUUAAGUUUUCGCAAACAUUUAAAAAGCGAAUUGAUGGAAAGAGUAGGUAAUACCUGCAGGUGAAAUGUGAACAUGGCAAAUGCUGCUAUUUUUCAAGGCGUCCAAAGCCUUUAAUAGGCAAACAGUGUUCUUCACGACCCACAAGAAUGGCGUGUUUGGGGCGGUGAAAACACUCUCCCUUUCCUCCCAGCAUGCCAGGCUCAUGCUCACUCCUAACACUGCCCAGGACCCCUGGGAGUCCUGGAAAUGGGCCAUGAGGCUUGGAGGCAGAAGCCCUGUGUGACUUGGGGUUUGUCCCUUAACAUCUCUGGGCCUGUCUGUUAAAAGGGGAUGUUCUCAAGUCACAUAAAAGAGUAAAUGUGCAAAAAUAGUCAAAGCAAUGCUGAAAGAAGAACUAAGAGAGAGGACUUGUCCGUCCAGACAUUAGAAUAUAUGACAAAGGCAUAGAAAUAAAACAGUUUGGUAUUGGCAUCUAAGUGGACAAAUACAUCACGGGAACAGAAUAGCAUCCAGGAAUUAACCCGGCUAUCACCUGGCCUACCUCCACUCAUAGAUGUGAAAGGAUUUAGAAAAGGGAAGAGAUUGGCAGGCAUGGGAUUCUCUGGAUUAUGUUAUGUCUGGGCUGGUGAAGAAGCUUCCAACAGGCUCCCCAUCUGCAGCCCUCCCCUCUAACCUACCAGCCAUGGCACCAGGGACACUCACUGUCAUGAGCUGCACUCACCCCCGCUCUGCUCUGGAAAUAUCAGAGCCUCCCACGCAAGAUGGGUUAGACCACAGUUGUCACCAUUCCUCCUUUUGCACUUCUCUUUGAUUCUUCUGAUUAACCCAAGGAGAAAGUCUCAGGCGGGCGCGGCUGGACUUGAAUACCUCUCCCACGUUUGCUCGUCUCCCUUUAUGAGGCAGAGCUGGCCUUAAGCUCAGGGCCUUCAGCAGGCAGGAGAAUGGAGCAAGAAUUUGGUAACGUUCUUUUGUGAUUGUUGUUUUAAGGUUACUUUCUCUUUACAGAAAUGAAAAGUUGUUUCCUCCUUCUGAUAGUAACACAAAUUUUCCUUUUAAAAUAAUUUUUUCUAAUCCAUAUUACAAUGAGAAUGAACCUCCAAAACAUGAUGCUAAGUGAAAAAAGCCAGACACAGAGGUCUUUUUUUUUUUUUUUUUUUUUUUUUGAGACAGGUUCUUGCUCUGUUGCCCAGGCUGGAGUGCAGUGGUGUGAUCUCGGCUCAUUGCAACAUCUGCCUCCCAGGCUCAAUGAUUCUCUCACCUCAGCCUCCCCAGUAGCUGGUACUACAGGUGCGUGCCACCACACCUGGCUAAUUUUUGUAUUUUUUGUAGAGGCAGGGUCUCCCUAUUUUGCACAGGCUGGUCUCAAACUCCUGGGCUGAAGAAAUCCUUCCGCCUCAGUCUCCCAAAGUGCUGGGACUACAGGCGUGGGCCACCAUGCCUGGCCAGAAGGUCACAUAUUGUAUGAUUCCCUUUCCAGGAAAUCUCCAAAAUAGGUACAUCCAUUGAGACCAGUGAAGAAUGGUGGUUGUUAGGGGAAUGGGGAGCGGCUGCUUUAUGGUCACAGGGUCUCCUUUUGGGGUGAUGAAAAUGUUUUGUGAUUAGCUAGAGGUGAUGGUUGCAGAACACAAUGCAAAAAUGCCACCGAAAUGUUCACUUUAAAAUGCUUAAUAUGAUGCUAUGUGAACUUCGUCUCAGUAAGUUAUUUUUUUAAAAAACCAGUGGAGUAAACCAAAAAAUCAAUUUACUUAAGAAAAGGUAUGAAUGGCUUUAAAGAUGGCUUUUAAGUGACGUGUGGGAGACAGUGGCUAAGGGGAUGAUUCUCACCCAUCGUGAGCCUGGGACCAUGGAUGGGGCCAGAGGUAGCUGCAAGGUACAGGGACCCGGCGUGAAAUUCCAUCAGUUAACACUGUAGGUGAGGCUUUCCAGCUCCCUUUCGUCCUCCCUGUGAUGCCAAGGGGAGGGAGAAACUCCACGUGGGGCUUGUGUGUCUUGAACACACAUUGGCUUAUACCUUGCUCAGGCCUGGAAGGCCCUCUGCUCACUGACGGAAUCCUAUGCAUCCCUGGGAACCCAGCUCAAGCCUCACCUCUACGGGAAGCCCUUCCUGAUUACACAGGUGGUCAGGCGGGGUCAGUCCUGCAGCCCUUCAGACCCGGUUGUGAAUCCCAGUCUUGCCACUUACUAGUGGGAGGAGUCUCUUAACUUAGACAUAUUGUUUGACUAAGAGGGCCUCAGUUUCCUUAUCUGGAAAAUGGGGGCUUAUGAUAGCUCUUAUCUCACUAGGUUGAGCUCCUACAUAGAAAGUUUUAGGACAGAACCUGGGGAGAUGUAGCUGCCCUUCAUUCACACUUCAGUCUGACACUGAUCACAUCACAGUUGCAUUCCUUUUCCUCCUGUCUCCUACACUGUGGGCAAGGGCUCAGCCUUUGUGAUCUCUGUAUCAUGUUGCUGUACAGAACUCACACACAGUAGGCACCCAAGAAGGGCGGGUUGGCUGACGUGCAGAGGAACUCCCAGAAUUCCACCUCUUCUCUCACCUCCACGGUCCCCACCCUGGUCCAGACCCUGCAUGGCUUACCUGGACUAUUGUGGUCUCCUCCUCCCUGGUUUCCUGGCUUCUGUCCUGAAUCCUCCACCUCCAAUCCAUUCCCCACAUGCAGCCAGAGAGAUCCCGUGAGAAUCUAAGUCAGAUCUCGUCCCUUCUCUGCCUGGAAACUUCCCACAGCUCUCACCUUGCUUAGAGGAAAAGCCAAAGUCCUUCCCGUGGCUCAUCCACUGUGGGACAUGCCCCAGGUCCUCUCUGCUCUCUGUUCCUCCUCCCCAAGGCCUCAUCCCUACGACAGUCUCCUUGUUGUUGCUCCGACACUCCAGGCUCCACCUCAGAACCUCGCAUCUGCCGUUCUGGUUUCCUGGAGCACCCAUUACCCCACACGGCCCGCUGCUCACUUCCUCACCUCCUCCAGGCCUCUGCUCAAAUAGCACCUGCUAGGGAAGCUUCCCCCUGCUUCCCAGGUUUUGCUG